rnacentral:rRNA from 1 species
GCCAGCAGCCAUAUCACCCUACAACUCACAACUGGCAACCCACUGAAGCUCAGCAGGUGUGAGCCUGGUCAGUACCUGGAUGGGAGACCUCCUGUGAAAAACCUAAGGCUGCUGCUGGAA